rnacentral:rRNA from 1 species
AAACCUACGGGGGGCAGCAGCCGCGGUAAUACGUAUGGUGCAAGCGUUAUCCGGAAUGACUGGGUGUAAAGGGAGCGUAGACGGUUGUACAAGUCUGAUGUGAAAGCCCACGGCUCAACUGUGGGAGUGCAUUGGAAACUGUAGAACUAGAGUAUCGGAGAGGCAAGUGGAAUUCCUAGUGUAGCGGUGAAAUGCGUAGAUAUUAGGAGGAACACCAGUGGCGAAGGCGGCUUGCUGGACGAAAACUGACGUUGAGGCUCGAAAGCGUGGGGAGCAAACAGGAUUAGAAACCCCGGGAGUCCUAG